rnacentral:rRNA from 1 species
GACGAACGCUGGCGGCGUGCUUAACACAUGCAAGUCGAACGGAAAGGCCAUGCUUUUGUGGGGUGCUCGAGUGGCGAACGGGUGAGUAACACGUGAGUAAACUGCCCUUGACUUUGGGAUAACUUCAGGAAACUGGGGCUAAUACCGGAUAGGAGCUCUUGCUGCACGGUGGGGGUUGGAAAGUUUCGGCGGUUGGGGCUGGUCUCGCGGCUUAUCAGCUUGUUGGUGGGGUAGUGGCUUACCAAGGCUUUGACGGGUAGCCGGCCUGAGAGGGUGACCGGCCACAUGGGGACUGAGAUACGGCCCAGACGCCUACGGGAGGCAGCAGUGGGGAAUAUUGCACAAUAGGCGGAAGCCUGAUGCAGCAGCGCCGCGUGCGGGAUGACGGCCUUCGGGUUGUAAACCGCUUUCGCCUGUGACGAAGCGUGAGUGACGGUAAUGGGUAAAGAAGCACCGGCUAACUACGUG